UUGACUUCCUUCCGUUACUUAGAAGUAACGUUGUUUUUGAACAGGCGACUUCAUUUUGGUUGGAUAUUUAAUGCGACCUAUCACGCUGCUGCAGUACAAGCAAAUGGAAGGUAGUUUUGAGGAGAUCGCUCGCGACUAACAACGAAAUUGGAUGACAGCAGUAGAAAUAUUAGAUGACGAUGCUUUCCUCGGGGCGGAUAGCAGCAAAAAUCUAUUUGUUUACCUAAAAGUUGGGGCCGCAAAACGGACGACGAACAACAGCAAAUGCCAGAGGUUGCUCAAUUCCAUCUCGGUGAUAUGGUGAAUGUAUUCUGCCACGGUUCACUCGUGAUGCGAAACAUUGGUGAGCGAACGGCGGCGACAACGAGUUGUGUGCUAUUUGGCAUGGUCAGCGGUGCAAUAGGAAAAAAUUACUGACACAAUCGAAUCAGUUGGCAAGUUUCUUUUUCUUCUUUUUUGGCUUAGAGAGAUUUUAAACUUUUCAGCUCAUUCGCCUCUAAUGUUGACAAGAUUGAUUAUUCGUAUUGGCGUAGUUUUCACACCGAAAUGAAAACAGCACGUUGCGGGGGAUUUAUUGAUGGAGACCUUGUGGAAUGUUUUCUGGAUUUAAGUCGGGGAAAAAUGUACAAAGCUGCAGUGGGAUUGCAGAUCGACGUGAUUGGAACUAAGAAGGAAGCGGCCGUAGAUGAUAUAACCCAGAUGUUUGCAGAUUGUAGAGAUUGUAGAAAGCAGAAAGUAAACCAAAAUAUAGAAAACCUAACACGAAUACGUUAGGAUGUCUAGUGUUGAUCAUUACGGUGCUAUCAGUUGUUCUCUGACACAAAUGCUGACAAAACGAGAAGUUACAUAUUUUUCCUAAAAAAAAAUAUUAAGAAAACAACUCAUUAAAUAAUCUAUUCAGCUGGACGAACAAU